rnacentral:rRNA from 1 species
GAACGCUAGCUACAGGCUUAACACAUGCAAGUCGUGGGGCGAGCAUGGCUGUGCUGCAACAGCUGAUGGCGACCGGCGCACGGGUGAGUAACGCGUAUCCAACCUGGCCCACAGUAGGGGAUAGCCCGGCGAAAGUCGGAUUAAUACCCUAUGUUUUCCUUUGAGAGCAUUUGACGAGGAACAAAGAUUUAUCGCUAUGGGAUGGGGAUGCGUCCGAUUAGCUUGACGGCGGGGUAACGGCCCACCGUGGCUUCGAUCGGUAGGGGUUCUGAGAGGAAGGUCCCCCACAUUGGAACUGAGACACGGUCCAAACUCCUACGGGAGGCAGCAGUGAGGAAUAUUGGUCAAUGGGCGAAGGCCUGAACCAGCCAAGUAAGCGUGAGGGAUGACUGCCCUACGGGUUGUAAACCUCUUUUGCGGGGGAAUAAAGUGCGGGACGCGUCCCGUUUUGUAUGUACCCUGAGAAUAAGGACCGGCUAAUUCCGUGCCAGCAGCAGC